rnacentral:sRNA from 1 species
GAGGUGAGAAGGGGGUGAGAGAAACCCCUCAGAGAGGAGAGGCGAGGCGAGGCGAGGUGAGGCGCCGCCUUGGUCCUUAGACUGGGCUGAGGGCGGGAAGAGCCUGGCUUCUCACUCUUUCCUCUCCCCUCAGGUCCAGAUUACAUCGGUCUCCACGUCUGUGCCCCGAUCAGUGCCCCCUGCGCUGCCACCCCUUCCACCUCCCACCUCGCUGUCCCAGCCGCCCCCACUGCUGAGGCCACCUUUGCCCACGGCUCCCACUCUGCUCCGACAGCCACCCCCACUGCAGCAGGGCCGCUUCCUCCAGCCCCGGCUGGCCCCCAACCAGCCCCCACCGCCUCUCAUCCGCCCCGCUCUG